UUAGGGUUCCAGUAAAGCACUUAAACUAAACAGAGAAUAUCCCGUAAUUAUCUCUGCAGUAACAUUUCAUCUCAGGUGGGGUAGUUCGACACGAUGAGGUUCUUAUUCUCAUUGCACGUGUGUCUACUGUUGCUGGCUAAUGCAUGUAACAUAAUACAUGGACAAUCAUCAGGUAGGACACUGUCAUCAAUCUUUCAUAUACAUAAUUAACAUUUUCUUUUUACAUGACACUCUUACUUGAUUCUGAUUGGUCACUUAUGACCUUAGGGUAUUUUAUUCAACUACACCAGUCAUUAUAAUCCAGGUACUGCCAGCCCUCUUGACCGGUGAAUUUUUACCUCCUAAAUGGAUAAUAGAUUUUCCAUUUCAUUUUUUAAACUGUGCCUCAGGAUAUUUUUUAACAAAUAAUUUAUAGCCAUUUUCAAUCCUGUUUUUGUUCUAAUUU